GGCCCAAUGGUCUAGUAGUAUGAUUCGCCCUUCGGGUUUCCCAAUCCGGUCUUUCAGAUCACGUGGGCGAGGUCUCGGGUUCAAUUCCCGAUUGGGCCC